ensembl:antisense Gm16191 predicted gene 16191
GUCUAAUGGAAGGGAAGGUGGCUGGGCCAGGGCUCAGGGCUGCGUACUGGAGACCCGGCUCCUUUCAGCUCCGCACAGAGCAGAGGAUCUGGGGCCCAGGUAGACAAGUCUCUUAAUGAAGUUGGUUCUUAAUGAAGAUCUAGAUACAGCAAAUGGUUGUUCCAGAAAAAUCUCAGCAGCACCUGGCCUCUCACGAACACCAGCGCCACAAAAGGAGCCAGCACAUCUCCGACUUCCUGUGCAAGAUGCUGUGUGGAAAGACAGCGGUUUUUUCGUUAAGAUGCCAACUUGGGGCUGGCGAGAUGUCUCUGCAGGGAAAGGCGCUUGCCAGGAAGCCUAACGACCCAAGGUCGUGAGCUGGUGGGAGAGACCCAACUCCGCAAGUCAGCCUCUGACCUCCACAUUCAGGUAUUUCCUUCUCCCCCCCCCCCAGCCACCCCCUCCCCAAUCUCUAAGGUAAAUAAAUACAGCAGGGUGGUGGUGGUGCACACCUUUAAUCCCAGCACUCGGGAGGCAGAGGCA